rnacentral:rRNA from 1 species
UUCCUACGGGAGGCAGCAGUGGGGAAUAUUGCACAAUGGGGGGAACCCUGAUGCAGCGACGCCGCGUGGGUGAAGGAGCACCUCGGUGCGUAAAGCCCUAUCGGCAGGGAAGAAAGGCGGGCGGGGCCCGUCUGGACGGGACCUGACUAAGAAGCCCCGGCUAACUACGUGCCAGCAGCCGCGGGAAUACGUAGGGGGCAAGCGUUAUCCGGAUUCACUGGGGGUAAAGGGAGCGUAGACGGCGACGCAAGUCUGGAGUGAAAGCCCGGGGCCCAACCCCGGG